CUGAUGCUCCAGGCCGGUUGCAUCUAUCUGGGACUUAUCACCCCCUGUCCAGAAACCUUCCACCCCCUACACCUGCCCAGAAGACUUAUCACCCCCUGCCCAACUACAAAUGCCAUCUCAACUAAAGAAUACCCAAAACAUCCCGCCUGAUUAACGUUUCCCUUAGCGCUUCCACAAACCUCCCUAUAAAUAUGGAGCCUCCCUGAUCCCUCUCGGCUCUCAGCCUGGUCCUUAGGCCGACUGUCGCCCCUCCUUGCCUGAAUAAAGGCAACCUACUUCUGUUGAGGUCGUCUUUCCUCUUUCUGCCUCAGCCUGAACUAUACCUUACAUUCUUGGUGCUGAAACCUGGAAGGGGCGAGGCACUCGUCUCACUCUCUCUCACUCUCCCUCACUCUCAUUGUUUUCCCUUUUCCAGGAGUCUGGGAGUGCAAACAUCCUCCGAGCUCACUUUUCUGCCAGGGCUCAAGUUCCCCUCGGGGACACAAGUGCCUUCGUGAGCGGUUCAAGCCUUGGGCUAAGGCUUUAUUGGUGCUGUGCGUACCCCCAGGCCUCGGCUCUACCCCAUUUCCCCCUCUCUCUCUCUCUGAUGACCUCCGGAAUAGGGAACUCCUGCCAUUCGACUGCUCUACAUGCAACACUCCACUCAAGCCGGCCCAUAGAUUAAGGCUGUAGACGGGCCUGCACUGGAGAAACCGCAGGAUGUAUGUGGGCAGCUCUCGUCGCCUCCAGGGACCCCGCUGCUGGACACGGUGCAGGAUGCCAUGAGGGGACAUCCUGAAGGGAAUCAUGAGGGGACCCAAAGAGGAGACACUACGAAGGGAUAAUCAUGAGAGGAUGCCACAAGGAGACACCAUGAGGGAAACAUCAUGAGGGGAUGUCCUGAGAGGACACCAUGAGGGCAGCCGUGAAGGGAACAUCAUGAGGAGCUGCCAUGGGGAAACCGUGGGGUACACUAUGAGGGGAACAGGAUCAGGGACGCCACGAGGGGAUAGUAAGGAGGAGACCCCGCGAGGAAAGAAACAGCAUCCGGGGAAGCCAGGAGGGAACAUCCUGAGGAGAAGCCAUGAGGAGAACAUCAAGGGGAACAGCCAUGUGGGGAACUUGAGGGGAACCGUGAGAGGAUUCUCUGAGGGGAUAUCAGUGGGGUGUGCCAUGAGGGGACAUUGACAGAUGCACAAACGGCCCCACGGAGGCAUAGCCACGCCUCCUACUUUAUGCCCCUGUUCCUGCUGUGUGUUGCACUUUUGUUUACAGACCCACGACCAGACAAAACCAGCACGUCAACACAAGACUGAAUCACACCCAUAAAUCUUUGGGUGGUGGGAGGAUUAUGGAAACUGAGGGCUUCCAGGAACCCUUGGCCUGCCCCACUGGCCUGUGGCAGGCCCCUCAAGAUCCUGGGGAUCCCAACGACAGGGAGGAGCAGCCCUGGGGCGGCAGCAUCCGCUCCCAGGCCUGGGACUCUGCUGCUGACUUAGUGUUUGCCAAUGGCAUCCCCUGCUGGUGACUUCAGGCUGCAUGGACUCAUGUUUCCCCACCCCAAACCUCAGCCUCCAGAAAGGAGCCCCAGCCCAAUGCCGGCCUGACUCUCAUCAGAACCGAAACUAAGAGCCUGUCCUUGGAAACGCUGAGAACUCCCGACUCUGAUCUGUCUGGCCUCUGUUUUCUGAUCUGUGGAAUCAGGAGGCUGCCUCCUCAGCGUCCAUUGUUCUGUCCCGGCAGAGCCCUGUCUGGUGGGUUGGGAACAUGUGGAAGCCAUCCCCAGACCAGCUCUGCUGCAUCAGCAGCCCCACAGACCUGCUGUGAGUGUGCAGGUGUGUCAUGUCUGUGAGUGCGGGUGUGCAGUGUCUAAGUGUGCAUGCAUGUGCCCCUGGUGUUAGGUGUGUUCCCAGGGCCCUUGGAGCAGGUACCAUGGUUCUAGAUCCCUCAUGCCUCGGCCAGGUCUAGUGACUAGAAGUCAAUAGAAGACCUGAUUAAUAACCGCAGGACCUUGAGAUGCAGAGGGCCGGACCCCAGAGGCAGGAACCACACACGUAGAGGACUGAGAACCAGAUGUUGGCCAAGGCCACUUUUGGGAAGGAUUUUCUGCUUAUCUGCAUUUUCCAAGGCUUCUAAAAUGAAAAUGAACUUCUGUGGAAAUAAGAAAACACACAACUGUAACAUUCUCAGCCAGUCUGUAGCCUAUGUCCACAGUCUGGGUGAAGCAGAGACACGGAGAAGCAUCAAGAAGGGCAAAGGGGCGACCCAUCCAGCCUUCCCCUGCAGAUGGAAACCCCAGGCUAUGCAGAAGCCUGUGAGUGGGGUGUGGGUGUGUGGGUGCUAUGUCACUGUGCUGGGUUUGACAGCAAACGGGCGGGGGGCAGUGUUAGGGAAAUGACAACGGAGGAAGGCUUGUUCAGGUUUCAGAGGCUGGAGAGAAGGCCUCUGACUGACUUCUGAUCUUGCCUGGACUAUGUGCUGCUGGCAAACACACAAAUUGUUACCAGCAUGUCAAGGGGCACUUUGGAUAAGAAAGGGAACGGGGCUUGGAUUUUCUUGAGCCCCUGGAGUUCUGCCCAACUCCCUGGGGUCUGGAAAAUCUUGUGACUCACAAGGUGAAACAAACAACAGUGUAAAAGGUGAAGGAAAACCAGAGCUGCAUUGUUGCACACCCAUGAAGGUUGGUAUCAGCUGCACCCUGGGAUUCCAAGCGGGAGCCUCCAAAACUGCAAUUUGAAGUCUCAACUGCGAGAUGCGGACCUUUUCACAACUGGGAAUCCAUAUGGCUAUUACCGAGGGACCUUCCAGCUCUGUUUAAGUCUGGAUGUUAGUCGGCCCUGUGUGGUGAUGUACGUGGUAUUACUUUUCUCUAUUGUUUCUAUUUCUCUUCUUUUAAUGCCUGUAUAUUGAAAUUACGCCAAAUACUCUUCUAGUAAAUAUUGAAAUUGUU